rnacentral:snoRNA from 2 species
GUUAACUGUGAUGAGUCUUCAACAGACCUGUAAUGAUUUGCGGGUAUGAUCGCAGAUAUUAUUGAACAUCUAAGGGACUGAGUUAAC